UGGGGAAUUUUGGACAAUGGGGGCAACCCUGAUCCAGCCAUGCCGCGUGCAGGAUGAAGGUCUUCGGAUUGUAAACUGCUUUUGUCAGGGAAGAAAAGUUUAGAGCGAAUAACUCUGAAUGCUGACGGUACCUGAAGAAUAAGCACCGGCUAACUACGUGCCAGCAGCCGCGGUAAUACGUAGGGUGCAAGCGUUAAUCGGAAUUACUGGGCGUAAAGCGUGCGCAGGCGGUUCUGUAAGAUGGGUGUGAAAGCCCCGGGCUCAACCUGGGAAUUGCAUUCAUGACUGCAGGACUAGAGUUCACCAGAGGGGGGUGGAAUUCCAAGUGUAGCAGUGAAAUGCGUAGAUAUUUGGAAGAACACCGAUGGCGAAGGCAGCCCCCUGGGGUGCGACUGACGCUCAUGCACGAAAGCGUGGGGAGCAAACAGG
rnacentral:rRNA from 1 species